CAGAUUACCAAAUUGGAGAAUCACCAAGGCCUUUCAGCGAUUCGACGCGCCCCCCUAAGCUAGAUGCUUCACCUACCUGACCUCAGAUAGAAUGAGUCGCCCUAGCCCUAGUCUUACUAAGAGUUUUAAUUGCUCUGUAGGAUAGUAGGGCGAAUGAAUCGCAUUAGUGCGAUUUGGCUAGCUGAAUCGCCCCUCUCUUCAUUGACUCUUGGUACCUAGACACUUUGAAUCAAUCCCCUCUGUAUAUGUAUCUGAGUUCGACACUCCAUCCCAGAUCUCUAGGAAAAGGGCUGAGAGCAAGACCAUAUCUGAGUUUGACAGUUAUGAUUGAAAUUGAACGAAUAUUAAUUUAGUGAAUUAGUGAAUCUAACUUCCAUCGACUAAGAUUCUAGCAUAUUCAGCUGUGCCAUUUCUUUAUUAGUUUAAGCUUGAAGUGUGAAUGGAUUUCCAGAUAAGAAGCGCUACCCAAUAUUGAGCAUGUGUCGGUAAAGGAAAUCACAAAUGAAAGGAAGUGAGUGGAAAGUCUUUCUCGGUACUUUAGCAUGGUAAUGAAGAGGAAAUUCUAUAAGUGAAGGCCAAUGAGGGCUGACAUAAUUGAUUCAUGCUUUGCCUUAUAUAAGAAGGAUGACUAUAAAAUGCUUUUUUACCAUAAGAUGCUUUAUUCUCAAAAGUACUAAAUGAUUUCCUAGUUCGAUUUCGAUACUUGCAUCAAGUGGUCUUUUCCUUUCAGCCCCUGCAUCCUAUCCUAUACUUGACGAGCUAGUUUCAGUUUUUGGAAUUGAUUUCCUUCUCCAAGCAAGUAAAGAGCUAGAGGAUUAGGUCAGGCACAAAAGAGACUGUUUCAAUCCAGCGGAUACAGUACUUAUGAAGCAUGAAAAUCGAAAAGAAUGCUCUUUGGGCAUUGCUUGUGUCGACCAACCAAGCAGAUGAGAUUCUGUCUCUUCCUUUACUAUUAUCACUGACAUUAAGGUUGACUCUCUCCUUGCUCGUUUCACUCCUUUCCGUGAAGAGCAUAGUAGGCACCAAGUCGCAG
rnacentral:lncRNA from 1 species